GUGAUGGGCAGAUUAUAAACCCCAAAAGACCUUCAGAUUAGGCAGAAGAAUAGAUGGCAAGAAGAGCAAAAAGCCUAUGAAGAACAAAAUCAGGCUUUCUCAAAAAUCAAUUAUUUUCCCAAAGAAGAAUAGAACCAGUCUCCAAUGGCUAAUCUAUGCGGCUGUCACAACCAUCACAACCUCCUUCCAUCAUGUUAUAUUAUCAGCAGAUAAAACGAAGAGAAUUGGAGAUAUAUGCAGUGAAGCCUCAGAAGCCAGGGAUUGAUCUGAGUGGCUAUCCUGUCCUCUGCUGGAUUCCAGGGCUCCUCGAUUCUGCCUAUAGCCACUGUCACGUUAUGGACUACUUCAAACAAUUGGAGCCAUUUAGCCAAGCGGGAUUCUUGUCCAAACAUAUUUUAUCAUAGCUAUUCUGAAAAGAAAAUCACCUGGAAAACACAAGCCCUGAAAAUCAAUUGAUUGAUUUAUCACUUUUAGAAACAUAAGGCAUGUAAAUAAAUCCCCACAGAUGAGCA
rnacentral:lncRNA from 1 species